CAGUCGCCACGGUAAUACGAACCGUGCGAACGUUAUUCGGAAUUACUGGGCUUAAAGCGCGUGUAGGCGGGCCGCCACGUCGGUUGCUGAAAUCCCCCGGCUCAACCGGGGAAGUGGCAUCGAUACGAGCGGCCUUGAGGGGGGUAGGGGGAUCUGGAACUUCCGGUGGAGCGGUGAAAUGCGUUGAGAUCGGAAGGAACGCCCGUGGCGAAAGCGAGGUCCUGGACCCUUUCUGACGCUGAGACGCGAAAGCCAGGGGAGCGAACGGGAUUAGAUACCCGCGUAGUCCCUGUCUCUUAUA
rnacentral:rRNA from 1 species